UAGUCAUAUGCUUGUUUCAAAGAUUAAGCCAUGCAUGUGCAAGUAUGAAAUAAUUUGAACUGUGAAACUGCGAAUGGCUCAUUAAAUCAGUUAUAGUUUGUUUGAUGGUACGUGCUACUUGGAUAACCGUAGUAAUUUUAGAGCUAAUACGUGCAACAAACCCCGACUUUUGGGAGGGGCGCAUUUAUUAGAUAAAAGGCUGACGUGGGCUUUGCUCACUGAUUCGAUGAUUCAUGAUAACUUGACGGAUCGCACGGCCUUUGUGCCGGCGACGCAUCAUUCAAAUUUUUGCCCUAUCAACUUUUGAUGGUAGGAUAGGGGCCUUCCAUGGUGGUGACGGGUGACGGAGAAUUAGGGUUUGAUUCCGGAGAGGGAGCCUGAGAAACGGCUUCCACAUCCAAGGAAGGCAGCAGGCGCGCAAAUUACCCAAUCCUGACCCGGGGAGGUAGUGACAAUAAAUAACAAUACCGGGCGCGUUAGUGUUUGGUAAUUGGAAUGAGUACAAUUUAAAUCCCUUAACGAGGAUCCAUU
rnacentral:rRNA from 1 species